UACGGGGGGGGGCAAGCGUUGUUCGGAAUUACUGGGCGUAAAGGGCUCGUAGGUGGCCAACUAAGUCAGACGUGAAAUCCCUCGGCUUAACCGGGGAACUGCGUCUGAUACUGGAUGGCUAGAGGUUGGGAGAGGGAUGCGGAAUUCCAGGUGUAGCGGUGAAAUGCGUAGAUAUCUGGAGGAACACCGGUGGCGAAGGCGGCAUCCUGGACCAAUUCUGACGCUGAGGAGCGAAAGCCAGGGGGAGCAAACGGG
rnacentral:rRNA from 1 species